rnacentral:ncRNA from 2 species
GGUCAUGAGUGCCAGCGCCAAGCCCCGGCUCGCUGGCCGGCAACCCUCCACGGUUCGCGGUGGGGUGCCCCGGGUGAAGACCUGGCCCGACCGUGGUCCUCACGGCGGGCAAGCGCGGACC